GAUGAACGCUGGCGGCGUGCCUAAUACAUGCAAGUCGAACGCAUAGCGAAAGGUGCUUGCACCUUUCAAGUGAGUGGCGAACGGGUGAGUAACACGUGGACAACCUGCCUCAAGGCUGGGGAUAACAUUUGGAAACAGAUGCUAAUACCGAAUAAAACUUAGUGUCGCAUGACACAAAGUUAAAAGGCGCUUCGGCGUCACCUAGAGAUGGAUCCGCGGUGCAUUAGUUAGUUGGUGGGGUAAAGGCCUACCAAGACAAUGAUGCAUAGCCGAGUUGAGAGACUGAUCGGCCACAUUGGGACUGAGACACGGCCCAAACUCCUACGGGAGGCUGCAGUAGGGAAUCUUCCACAAUGGGCGAAAGCCUGAUGGAGCAACGCCGCGUGUGUGAUGAAGGCUUUCGGGUCAUAAAGCACUGUUGUAUGGGAAGAACAGCUAGAAUAGGAAAUGAUUUUAGUUUGACGGUACCAUACCAGAAAGGGACGGCUAAAUACGUG
rnacentral:rRNA from 1 species